rnacentral:sRNA from 1 species
GCGAACCUUGCGGGCGUCCGUCUGGAGCCGCAGGCUCGGGUGCUCCCGCAGAAAGGCCCGCACGUCGGCCGGCAACUCGCUCAUGGCCGAGGCGCCCGCGGAGCAGCCCGGCGGAAGCCGCUCGCAGAACCUGGAGCCGGGGGCGGGGCUCUGGGCGGGACUCAGCGGCGCCCCGGAUGCAGAUGCCUCCUGCGUCCCGGAAGCGCCCGCGGGGCUGGGUGCGAUGGCGGCGGGGGCUGCGUCGCAGCUGGGGCUGCGGGCGGCGGGGCUGGGACGGGCCCCGGCCAGCGCCGCCUGGAGGAGCGUCCUCAGGGUCUCCCCGCGCCCAGGUGAGGGCUGCAGGCCGGGCUGUGAUCCAGGCGCCUGGGCAGAGCCACCUGCUGUCUGCCCUGCACUUUGAAGGGUUGUCGUGGGGAUUGAAAUGAACCAACUGCCGGCUGAGCGGAGGCUCCCUGGGAGUGACAAGUUCCGUAUUAAAAUGCUUUCAGUGGAA